CUCCCAGCUGGCGUUGCUGAGAGGCAGGGGGUCCUCCCCGUGAAACGUCACCCCGUGACCGAAGCUCUUGGCAUCCUUAUAGCAGGACAGCUGACCCGGCUUCAGCACACAGAACAGGCUGUUCCACGACCUGGAGGUGAUGUACCUGUUUGACGCCCUCUUUCCUGAGCCCUCUACAUCAUGUUUGCGGCUCAAGGUGCCCUCCUGCAGCACGGCCUGGGCUCCGACCGGCUCCAGGGCCACGGUGGCGGCCCUCUCCGGUUCCUGCUGCGUUCCCAUGGAGACCGAGGGCUCCGGGUCCAGCUCCAAGGACCCGCUCUCUCUCACCUCCGACACGAUGGGCGCCGUGGAGUCGCCGGCAGCUCCCUCCUGCUGACCUGAACUGGGCUCAGCCGCGCCGAAACCAGACUAGGGGGCAGAAUGGAAACAACAUCAACAAACCACCUGCCUGUUAAUUAGAGCGUGCCCUUGAUUGCUGCAUCAUUUAUGAUGUUCAAAGAGCGUGGAUUGUUUUAGAUUUGAAAAAGUCAAGGAGCUCUUUUUAAAAGUUUUUCUUUUAUUAAUUUUUUGACUGGUUAAAUAGAGGUCACCACAUCAAAACGUACAGAGGACAGGGCUGAGUGGGCGUAGUUACUAACCAGAGUCUGCUCCUCAAUAGUGUAGAGCUGUGAAGAUUCCUCUACAAAGCCCGUGUCUUCUCUCCUGGGGGAAAGGAAGCAGCAUGGGGUCUACGUGAGAGGUUUUUCAGAGCAGUAGGUGCGUGAAAGAGCGCUUGAAGCACAGGCCUGCUAAUGUUCAGCGUUCCCGUCAAGACGCUCAGCGACUGGAAAAGACCGCAGCCGAUGAAACAUUUUGUCUGCCUCUCGGUAUUUCUCGACCUUCGCCGCGUUUCCGUGGCCCGGAGCAUCGAGCCCAUUUGUUCUACUGACUAACACCUAAUUUAGCCUGGGCCUAUUUUCAGCAGCAGAUUUGUCCUAAUAGUGAGGCGAACGCGCGUUUCGGUGAUUUGGACAGUUUUGUUAGGAAAAAUCUAUUAAUAAUGUGCAGCCAAUUUUCUGAAAAUGGACUUUAUAUUUGUAUAGAAUCAGUAGAUACUUAGGUGUAAAAGGUAGGGCGGCCACAUAAUUAACUGUUUUAGACGUUUGGACUACAAAAGCCUAAGUCAGUAGGCUUUUGUAGUAUAAAUGCUUCAGACCCAGAAAACAAGUAUAGAUCACAGAGUAUUUUUUGUGGUGCGUGUUCACGGUCGUGGGCUGUGCAUGUACCUGCUGUCCCUGAAUGAACCGGGCUCUCCUCUAAUGAACUUCUCGAUCUCCUCCUGUUGUCUCCUCAGCUCCAGCAGCUCCAGCUGCAACACACAGUCAACUGAAAUGAGACGCUCUGCGUCGUUUGCUGCGCUUUAGUGGAUGAAUAGCGCUUUAAUUGAGUUUGUAGCCACAGAUGUUUUGAUAAUUGAGUAGAGUCCUCAUUCAAUUAAAGCUGGAUAGGUAAUUUGUUUCUUAUAAAGUAUUAACAUUUAGACUAUUAAUUUGACAAACAACUUAAUUUAAGUUGAGUAGAAAACUGUAACAGAACAUUUUAUACAAAUAUAAUGAUGCACAUUAAUCAGUAACGACAGUAGUAAACUCAGCUAUGUAGCAGCAUUAGUGCCGUAAUCCUCAUUAACAUUCACAUUUGUGUUUUAACUUAUUCAGAUUCAUCAGCAGCAGAUUGGUCUCCUAUCAUUUUUCACACUCCGGUUUAUUUCAGAUUCUGAGUGAAUUUCCAACAAACAAACGUGUCACCGGGCCUCUUAAUCCUCCCGUGAGCCGAUGGGGGGACGGAACCGCGGCGGGACCCACCGUGGUGAGGCGCUCCAGGGCGGAGAAGCGCUCCUCCCAGGUGGCCGUGGACUUCUCGAAGGCCCUGUGCCUCUUGAGGAGCCGGUCCACCUCGUCCACGGUGUGGCCCAGGUCUCUGCUGGUGACGUGGGGCUCCUGAGCGAUCAGCCAGGCCUCGGCCAACGAGGCGUCGCGGGCGAACUGGCACACCUCCAGCACUGCACGCAGAAGGAGGACGUUCGUGAGGACUUUGAAGGCGGCGCGUACUUUUCGGUGUGAGUGGAGUUUAUUACUCACAGAGGCUGAGCCAGUCCCGUCGGUCCUCCCACUUCUUCUCCAUCUCCUUCCAUUUCUCCUUCAGCUGCGACAGCUUCUCUUCGAUCUGACGCAAGCAGUUACACAGUCACGCUUACAUCUCAACGUUAUUAAAGAACUCGGCCCCAGCCCGACUAUUAUCCUCUCAGAAUUAGUAUUGUGGAGUAAUUAACCAAACAGUAAAUUUAGGCCGGGGUCAAUUGCUCAUUUAAAUUCUUUUUGGCUUUUCCAUUUCUAAUUAGUGUUUGCUUUAUAGUCUCCCUGAUGAGUGGAAGGUUUUUUUAUUUCGCGGCAAUCCAAUUGGUUCCAUUGUGCCAGACAAGAACAAUCGCUCCCAGAAAAGUAAUUAAAUCUAAUGAAAGCAGCAAUUCGGGGACUGCUGAGGAUGAAAAGAAGCCGUCUUCCCUCACCUCGCCAGAGUCCCGGUGCUUGCGCGUCACCAGGGCCUUCCCGAAGUCAAUGCAGUCCGUGAACUUGCUUUUCCUGGUCUCCAUUUCUGAGCGGAUCCCUUGGUGGUUCUUCUUCAGGAGCUCCCCGGACGGGACGUCCCUAAUGCAGGGGACAGAGAGAUAUAAAAUGAUAGUACUUAAUGCAUGAAGUGCAUCUUCCUCUAUUGGUACGGUCUGGAACUGCACCAGUGAUGGCUUUUAUUACCAAGGUUUAAUUAGCCUGUAUCAUAUUUAAAGUGAAUUAGUUUUGUGUUCAUAAGCUUCAUGUUGCAGAAAUGUGUCUAUUAAAACUAUUAUAAUAAA